rnacentral:rRNA from 1 species
GAGUUUGAUCAUGGCUCAGAGCGAACGCUGGCGGCAGGCCUAACACAUGCAAGUCGAACGGACCCUUCGGGGUUAGUGGCGGACGGGUGAGUAACACGUGGGAACGUGCCUUUAGGUUCGGAAUAGCUCCUGGAAACGGGUGGUAAUGCCGAAUGUGCCCUUCGGGGGAAAGAUUUAUCGCCUUUAGAGCGGCCCGCGUCUGAUUAGCUUGUUGGUGAGGUAAUGGCUCACCAAGGCUACGAUCAGUAGCUGGUCUGAGAGGAUGACCAGCCACAUUGGGACUGAGACACGGCCCAAACUCCUACGGGAGGCAGCAGUGGGGAAUCUUGCGCAAUGGGCGAAAGCCUGACGCAGCCAUGCCGCGUGGAUGAUGAAGGUCUUAGGAUCGUAAAAUCCUUUCACCGGUGAAGAUAAUGACUGUAGCCGGAGAAGAAGCCCCGGCUAACUUCGUGCCAGCAGCCGCGGUAAUACGAAGGGGGCUAGCGUUGCUCGGAAUUACUGGGCGUAAAGGGAGCGUAGGCGGACAUUUAAGUCAGGGGUGAAAUCCCAGAGCUCAACUCUGGAACUGCCUUUGAUACUGGGUGUCUUGAGUGUGAUAG